UGCAAGUCGAACGCGUUGGCCCAAUUGAUUGAUGGUGCUUGCACCUGAUUGAUUUUGGUCGCCAACGAGUGGCGGACGGGUGAGUAACACGUAGGUAACCUGCCCAGAAGCGGGGGACAACAUUUGGAAACAGAUGCUAAUACCGCAUAACANCGUUGUUCGCAUGAACAACGCUUAAAAGAUGGCUUCUCGCUAUCACUUCUGGAUGGACCUGCGGUGCAUUAGCUUGUUGGUGGGGUAACGGCCUACCAAGGCGAUGAUGCAUAGCCGAGUUGAGAGACUGAUCGGCCACAAUGGGACUGAGACACGGCCCAUACUCCUACGGGAGGCAGCAGUAGGGAAUCUUCCACAAUGGGCGCAAGCCUGAUGGAGCAACACCGCGUGAGUGAAGAAGGGUUUCGGCUCGUAAAGCUCUGUUGUUAAAGAAGAACACGUAUGAGAGUAACUGUUCAUNCGUUGACGGUAUUUAACCAGAAAGUCACGGCUAACUACGUGCCAGCAGCCGCGGUAAUACGUAGGUGGCAAGCGUUAUCCGGAUUUAUUGGGCGUAAAGAGAGUGCAGGCGGUUUUCUAAGUCUGAUGUGAAAGCCUUCGGCUUAACCGGAGAAGUGCAUCGGAAACUGGAUAACUUGAGUGCAGAAGAGGGUAGUGGAACUCCAUGUGUAGCGGUGGAAUGCGUAGAUAUAUGGAAGAACACCAGUGGCGAAGGCGGCUACCUGGUCUGCAACUGACGCUGAGACUCGAAAGCAUGGGUAGCGAACAGGAUUAGAUACCCUGGUAGUCCAUGCCGUAAACGAUGAGUGCUAGGUGUUGGAGGGUUUCCGCCCUUCAGUGCCGGAGCUAACGCAUUAAGCACUCCGCCUGGGGAGUACGACCGCAAGGUUGAAACUCAAAGGAAUUGACGGGGGCCCGCACAAGCGGUGGAGCAUGUGGUUUAAUUCGAAGCUACGCGAAGAACCUUACCAGGUCUUGACAUCUUGCGCCAACCCUAGAGAUAGGGCGUUUCCUUCGGGAACGCAAUGACAGGUGGUGCAUGGUCGUCGUCAGCUCGUGUCGUGAGAUGUUGGGUUAAGUCCCGCAACGAGCGCAACCCUUGUUACUAGUUGCCAGCAUUAAGUUGGGCACUCUAGUGAGACUGCCGGUGACAAACCGGAGGAAGGUGGGGACGACGUCAGAUCAUCAUGCCCCUUAUGACCUGGGCUACACACGUGCUACAAUGGACGGUACAACGAGUCGCGAACUCGCGAGGGCAAGCAAAUCUCUUAAAACCGUUCUCAGUUCGGACUGCAGGCUGCAACUCGCCUGCACGAAGUCGGAAUCGCUAGUAAUCGCGGAUCAGCAUGCCGCGGUGAAUACGUUCCCGGGCCUUGUACACACCGCCCGUCACACCAUGAGAGUUUGUAACACCCAAAGUCGGUGGGGUAACCUUUUAGGAGCCAGCCGCC
rnacentral:rRNA from 1 species